rnacentral:rRNA from 1 species
UACGGAGGGUGCAAACGUUGCUCGGAAUCAUUGGGCGUAAAGCGCACGUAGGCGGCUCGUUAAGUCGGAUGUGAAAGCCUGUGGCUCAACCACAGAAUUGCCUUCGAUACUGUAGAGCUUGAGACCGGAAGAGGUAAGUGGAACUGCGAGUGUAGAGGUGAAAUUCGUAGAUAUUCGCAAGAACACCAGUGGCGAAGGCGGCUUACUGGUCCGGUUCUGACGCUGAGGCGCGAAAGCGUGGGGAGCAAACAGG